UUUCCCCUCCACAGAAUCUGCAAGGAAUGGCUAUGGCAAUCCUACUUUCCAACAUGAUGAAAAACCUGAGCAAAAUGACGAGUUAAAAAAGAACAAGAAAAAAAAGAAAAAUGAGAAGUCAAAGGAAAAGAUGGUUGGCAUUUUGAAAUUGUUUGGGUAUGCCGAUUGGCUGGAUAUCAUUUUGAUGAUAAUAGGCUUGAUUGCAGCUGUUGCAAAUGGAACAGGGCUGCUACUUAUUAUCGUUGUCGUUGGAGAGAUGACAAACCGCUUUGUGAUGAUUGGCCAAGCAGUAAAUAUGUCUUCAGUUAAUCUUUCAGCUGUGAUG